UUGGCUUUGUCGAAUUACUGGAAUUUUGGAGAUCAAAGGAGCAAGGAAAGAAAGCUGAAACUCAUCGCAGAAGAAUAAGAAAACAAAAAAGGAAAGAUGAUUCACCGGAAGUGGAGUUUGCUAACAGGCCCAGUCGCCAUCCUCGGCGGAAUCGUGGGAGCCACCGUUGUCGCCCACUUACUCUUCGUUGACGAUCCAUAUCUUAAACCGAAGAAGAAGGAGAUGGAUACACUAGCAUUGACCAAGUAGAAAGAAGUUGACAGUUGCUCGUUGGUUCUGGUACUAGCUUUCUAUGACCUCACUUGAGCAGGCAAAUGCCUAGGUUGCUGUUUGAAACAUGAGUUCUUUGUUGAAUAAUAUCAAAUCUGAUGAUUGUGUAAUUUCAGCUUGCUUCUCUUUUGUGUCUCUUAAUAAGAAUUCAACUACAAUGUUCUUAGAACAUUGAAACUUGGAACUUGUAUAAAGUUACAUCUGCCAGACAACUUUGCAAAUCAACAUGAUAAAGCAGGUUUUAGUUACCAGUUCCAUA